rnacentral:rRNA from 1 species
CACGUAGGGCGCGAGCGUUGUCCGGAAUUAUUGGGCGUAAAGAGCUCGUAGGCGGCCUGUUGCGUCCGCUGUGAAAGCCCGGGGCUUAACCCCGGGUCGGCAGUGGAUACGGGCAGGCUAGAGGUAGGUAGGGGAGAAUGGAAUUCCUGGUGUAGCGGUGAAAUGCGCAGAUAUCAGGAGGAACACCGAUGGCGAAGGCAGGUCUCUGGGCAUUAACUGACGCUGAGGAGCGAAAGCAUGGGGAGCGAACAGG